rnacentral:rRNA from 1 species
UCCAGACUCCUACGGGAGGCAGCAGUGGGGAAUAUUGCACAAUGGGGGAAACCCUGAUGCAGCGACGCCGCGUGAGUGAAGAAGUAUUUCGGUAUGUAAAGCUCUAUCAGCAGGAACGAGACAAGACGGUACCUGAUUAAGAAGCCCCGGCUAACUACGUGCCAGCAGCCGCGGUAAUACGUAGGGGGCAAGCGUUAUCCGGAUUUACUGGGUGUAAAGGGGGCGCAGACGGCGAUGCAAGCCAGGAGUGAAAGCCCGGGGCCCAACCCCGGGACUGCUCUUGGAACUGCGUGGCUGGAGUGCAGGAGGGGCAGGCGGAAUUCCUGGUGUAGCGGUGAAAUGCGUAGAUAUCAGGAGGAACACCGGUGGCGAAGGCGGCCUGCUGGACUGCAACUGACGUUGAGGCCCGAAAGCGUGGGGAGCAAACAGGAUUAGAUACCCUUGUAUC